rnacentral:rRNA from 1 species
AACGAACGCUGGCGGCAUGCCUAACACAUGCAAGUCGAACGAAGCCUUCGGGCUUAGUGGCACACGGGUGCGUAACGCGUGGGAGUCUGCCCUUGGGUUCGGAAUAACAGUUAGAAAUGACUGCUAAUACCGAAUGAUGUCUUCGGACCAAAGAUUUAUCGCCCAAGGAUGAGCCCGCGUCGGAUUAGCUAGUUGGUGAGGUAAAGGCUCACCAAGGCGACGAUCCGUAGCUGGUCUGAGAGGAUGAUCAGCCACACUGGGACUGAGACACGGCCCAGACUCCUACGGGAGGCAGCAGUGGGGGAAUAUUGGACAAUGGCGGAAAAGGACCUGAUCCAGCAAUGCCGCGUGAGUGAUAAAGGCCUAGGUUGUAAGACUCUUUUACCCGGGUACGUGAUAAUAGACAGUACCGGGA